UUUUUUUUGCCGCCGAUUAUUUGGAAGGAUUGAGUCCAAAUAAUCGAUUUAGUUUGACCUGAUUGAUCUAUAGUCGAAAUGGACUUUGUUAUGGGCUUUUCAAGCGAGGCCCAAUUGAUUAGGGCAACAAUAUAAAAAGCGGCGAUAACAGCAAAAAUAGCAAAAUCUCAUUAGUUUAAGUAUGAGGCUGCGGUGAAAGCAGAGAGCUGUGGGGAGUUUCUAUGGGUGGUUUUGACCCUCUUUGUCUUUCUUCGCCGCCGAUGAUCAGUCAAAUGCAAAAAAAAAGUUCCGAUUGCAAAACUGCCCUUUCGGUGAAAAUACAUAUUACUCCCUCCGUUCACUUUUACUUUUUGUGCAAUGAGGCUAUGAAGAUUAUUUUGUUCUUCUGCGGAAGAUGAUACAGACAUAUAUUUCUAUUGAGCUGGAAAAAAACUGUAACUUGGCGUGGCAGCUCCGAUGGGUCUGUGAGAUAUUGGAGAAAAUUCCAUUUUAGGGUGUUUUUUUUCCGUCUCAUAAGGCUAACUGAUGCUUGCAGCCAUGUCGGUUUUUUCAAAGCUUUUUGGUUUUUGUCUGAGAAAAGGCGAAUCUGAGCCUACACCAUUACUUUGAUUUUUGAUUUUGGUUUUUCCUCUAGUCCUUGAUUGCAUAGGCGAAAAUCUAAGCUCAUUCCUCAAUUUAACUUUUUGUUCUACUUCCGAGACUGUAACUCAGAGAAGCUUUGUGGGAAUAAUUAUUACCUUGAAGAUUUCGAUUUCAGUGUUAAACUGAUUUGAUUUUUCCAAAAUGUUAGUCGAAAAAUUUCUCCAAAAUUUGUAUCUGAAUUUUAGUAAUUGAAUGAGAAGCAACGAUGAUGGUCAAAGAUCAAAUAAGAAUGCAAAACUACCACAGAUCUUCUAUGUGUUAUUGUGUUGUGAAUUAAUCUCUUGAUUAGUUCUCUUUGGUAACUAACCUUAACAACACUAUUUUCGAUUGGAACAAUCUGAGUCAUGAGUGUUAUCCUAUGUGGCAUUGCUAAGAAGAAGUCUUGAUGGUUACAAAUAAUGUUAAGAUCCCUUGCUGCAAGGUACUCUUGCAUUUUUGCAGACAAGAACAUGCAGGUGAUGGGUUUUUGUUCCCAUUAACAUGAAGUGCUAGUUUGAAGCAUGGGGCUAGAUUAUGAUGUGUAAGAAAUAUUGUAAAGAAACUACACUUAUUUUGAUGAAAACUCCAGGAACUGUGUUUGUCUUUACAUUCCAAAUUUCCGUGAAAUCAUUGUAGAUUCUGGCUACAACAGGAACAAAAUGGAGAGAAAGAGAGAGAUAGAGAGAGAGAGGAGGAGGAUUGGAAAUCAAUAAUGUUUGAUUGGGAUGAUCUAAUGUUCUUGAAAGAGCUAUUUUGCUUGGUCAAGGAGAAUUACCAAAGAGCUAUGAAUCUUGUUGAUAUGUGUCAAUAGCAGCUGCACCAUAUCUUAGAUAUUUCUGAUAAGCAGGAUAAGUUGAUCCAGAUAUUCUCCAUUAACAACAACAACAUUCUCAGUGCGAUCGCAGCCCUUUAAGUAAUAAUCAAAGCUGCCAAUUGAAGGUGCUAUCUCCGCACUUCAUAUUGUCAGAAUACAAGCCAAAAGCUAAGAAAGGCGAUGCAUUUACAAGGGAGUAAGCUCAUUUUAUAAAUUAUGUAAAUUUUGCAGUUGUUGCUUGCUUUAUGAAUACCCACUAAUCUUUGAGAUCGAUUCCAUGCUAAUUUGUUUUUUGAGAGUCCUUGUUUCUAUUGGUCUUUUGCCGCAUUUUGUGAUUGACGUAAACAAGAUGUCAUACUUCUUGCUCCUCUCAUUCAAUUAAUUGUGUAUUCUGUGCA